rnacentral:tRNA from 1 species
UGGGGUUGUGGCUCAGCGGUAGAGCGCUUGCCUCACAUGCACGAGACCCUGAGUUCGAUCCUCAGCACCACAU